rnacentral:snRNA from 1 species
GUGCUCAGGCCGCACAUAUGAUAAAUUAGAAUCGAUACAGAGAAGAUUAGCAAGGAUGACGCGCAAAUUCGAAAAAUUGGAAAGUAACAG